GCCGGGCGCGGUGGCUCAAGCCUGUAAUCCCAGCACUGUGGGAGGCCGAGACGGGCGGAUCACGAGGUCAGGAGAUCGAGACCAUCCUGGCUAACACGGUGAAACCCCGUCUCUACUAAAAAUACAAAAAACUAGCCCGGCUAGUUUUUUGUAUUUUUAGUAGAGACGGGGUUUCACCGUGUUAGCCAGGAUGGUCUCGAUCUCCUGACCUCGUGAUCCGCCCGUCUCGG
rfam:Chlorocebus sabaeus isolate 1994-021 chromosome 11, whole genome shotgun sequence.